rnacentral:rRNA from 1 species
AGUGAACGCUGGCGGUAGGCCUAACACAUGCAAGUCGAACGGCAGCACAGAGGAGCUUGCUCAUUGGGUGGCGAGUGGCGGACGGGUGAGGAAUACAUCGGAAUCUACUCUGUCGUGGGGGAUAACGUAGGGAAACUUACGCUAAUACCGCAUACGACCUACGGGUGAAAGCAGGGGAUCUUCGGACCUUGCGCGAUUGAAUGAGCCGAUGUCGGAUUAGCUAGUUGGCGGGGUAAAGGCCCACCAAGGCGACGAUCCGUAGCUGGUCUGAGAGGAUGAUCAGCCACACUGGAACUGAGACACGGUCCAGACUCCUACGGGAGGCAGCAGUGGGGAAUAUUGGACAAUGGGCGCAAGCCUGAUCCAGCCAUACCGCGUGGGUGAAGAAGGCCUUCGGGUUGUAAAGCCCUUUUGUUGGGAAAGAAAUCCAGCCGGCUAAUACCUGGUUGGGAUGACGGUACCCAAAGAAUAAGCACCGGCUAACUUCGUG